rnacentral:rRNA from 1 species
GAUGAACGCUGGCGGCGUGCCUAAUACAUGCAAGUCGAGCGAACAGACGAGGAGCUUGCUCCUCUGACGUUAGCGGCGGACGGGUUAGUAACACGUGGAUAACCUACCUAUAAGACUGUGAUAACUUCGGGAAACCGUAGCUAAUACCGGAUAAUAUAUUGAACCGCAUGGUUCAAUAGUGAAAGACGGUUUUGCUGUCACUUAUAGAUGGAUCCGCGCCGCAUUAGCUAGUUGGUAAGGUAACGGCUUACCAAGGCAACGAUGCGUAGCCGACCUGAGAGGGUGAUCGGCCACAGUGGAACUGAGACACGGUCCAGACUCCUACGGGAGGCAGCAGUAGGGAAUCUUCCGCAAUGGGCGAAAGCCUGACGGAGCAACGCGGCGGGAGUGAUGAAGGUCUGCGGAUGGUAAAACUCUGUUAUUAGGGAAGAACAAAUGUGUAAGUAACUAUGCACGUCUGGACGGUACCGAAGCAGAAAGCCACGGCUAACUACGG